AUUGAACGCUGGCGGCAUGCCUUACACAUGCAAGUCGAACGGCAGCACGGGGGCAACCCUGGUGGCGAGUGGCGAACGGGUGAGUAAUACAUCGGAACGUGCCCUGUAGUGGGGGAUAGCUCGGCGAAAGCCGGAUUAAUACCGCAUACGACCUACGGGUGAAAGCGGGGGAUCGCAAGACCUCGCGCUACAGGAGCGGCCGAUGUCAGAUUAGGUUGUUGGUGGGGUAAAGGCCUACCAAGCCGACGAUCUGUAGCUGGUCUGAGAGGACGACCAGCCACACUGGGACUGAGACACGGCCCAGACUCCUACGGGAGGCAGCAGUGGGGAAUUUUGGACAAUGGGCGCAAGCCUGAUCCAGCCAUGCCGCGUGCGGGAAGAAGGCCU
rnacentral:rRNA from 1 species